CAGUUGAGGUCAACUCUAACUUUAGCAUCUUUCUUUUAAGCAAAGUAGAAAGUGCUAUCAAGUUGGGGUAGAUGUUUGCUG
ensembl:miRNA dre-mir-430b-1 microRNA 430b-1